rnacentral:rRNA from 1 species
UACGAAGGGGGCUAGCGUUGCUCGGAAUGACUGGGCGUAAAGGGCGCGUAGGCGGCUUGCACCGUCAGAUGUGAAAUUCCUGGGCUUAACCUGGGGGGCUGCAUUUGAUACGUGUGGGCUUGAGUGCGGAAGAGGGUCGUGGAAUUCCCAGUGUAGAGGUGAAAUUCGUAGAUAUUGGGAAGAACACCGGUGGCGAAGGCGGCGACCUGGUCCGUGACUGACGCUGAGGCGCGAAAGCCAGGGG